ACUAAUUACAAGAACCAGGGGCGGAAAUUCCAGCCCUCUCGAUUGUUACGUAGCACGGACAGACUAUACGCCUGAUGGUCGUUCCCCAUCGGGCCUGAAAACCGCAAUACGCUGGGUAACAAUCUUCGA
rnacentral:sRNA from 2 species